AAGUCGUAACAAGGUUUCCGUAGGUGAACCUGCGGAAGGAUCAUUAAAGAGAUUAAAAACUGGGCGCUUCAGGGAGGGGUAACCCUCACCUGUCGGUCCCCAAUCUCCCAAACCCCCCGUCUAUCGACCUCCAUUUUUACAAACCCUGUACAAACACAAAGUCGUCCCUAGCGGGAUGCAUUAUACUGAAUGUACAAAAAUCAAAACUUUCAACAACGGAUCUCUUGGUUCUGGCAUCGAUGAAGAACGCAGCGAAAUGCGAUAAGUAAUGUGAAUUGCAGAAUUCAGUGAAUCAUCGAAUCUUUGAACGCACAUUGCGCCCCCUGGUAUUCCGGGGGGCAUGCCUGUUCGAGCGUCACAUAAACAAGCUCAAGCACCGNUUGACGUUGGGCGAAUAGGGCCGCCGUACUUGUAUCCUGAGAAGUAUGGAAUUUCUUCGCGGCCCCGCCUCAAAAUUGUCGGCAGCGGCACAGAAGCCCCGAGCGUACCAAGACCUAAUCGUCUCCGCUCCGNNGGNCUUUCUGAUACCGUCUUUGCCCCAUAAUGAACCCAGCUUAUCUAUAAAAUUGACCUCGGAUCAGGUAGGGAUACCCGCUGAACUUAAGCAUAUCAAUAAGCGGAGGAAAAGAAACCAACAGGGAUUGCCCUAGUAACGGCGAGUGAAGCGGCAACAGCUCAAAUUUGAAAUCUGGGGCCGUUAGGCACCCCGAGUUGUAAUUUGUAGAGGAUGCUUCGGCGCGUGGNNCGGGCCAAGUUCCUUGGANCAGGACGCCCCAGAGGGUGAGAGCCCCGUACGCCUGGGACCCACCGCCGUAUUAAAAGAAGCUCCUUCGACGAGUCGAGUUGUUUGGGAAUGCAGCUCUAAGCGGGAGGUAAAUUUCUUCUAAAGCUAAAUACUGGCCAGAGACCGAUAGCGCACAAGUAGAGUGAUCGAAAGAUGAAAAGCACUUUGGAAAGAGAGUUAAGAAGCACGUGAAAUUGUUGAAAGGGAAGCUCUUGCUGUCAGACUUGUCGCGGUCGUUCAGCCGUCCCCCGGGGCGGUGUACUCUUCCGCGGCGGGCCAGCAUCAGCUCUGGCGGCCGGACAAAGGUCCCGGGAAUGUAGCCCCUCUCGGGGGGUGUUAUAGCCCGGGUCGUAAUGCGGUCAGCCGGGGCUGAGGAAAGCGUUUUUGCUAGGAUGCUGGCGUAAUGGCAGCAAGCGACC
rnacentral:rRNA from 1 species